GGGGAUUGAUUUUAUAUUUGAAUAACUGAAUCUUUCAUUAUUGUGGAGAAAUAUAGAGAAAAUAUUGUUAAUAAAUUUCUCAUUGAGAUGAACAUUUUUACAACCAAGUAUGAUAACAACAAAAGAUUAAAUCUUUUGAAUGUGAGAAACUAAACUGCUACAAAAAUGGGUCAAAUAUCUACAUUAGUCCAAUGAUAUCUUCAAAGAGCUAAUUCAAUUCAAGUGAGAAAUGAUAUCUAAGAAAAUCUCUUCUCUGCAAGGAAUAGUGAGACCACCCAUUGGAUGGUCAUAUUCAAAUUGUUCCUCAGCUUGGUUCAACAAUUCUUGGAAUGAGGUUUGGUUCAAGUAUGAUACAGGAAUCACAAACCGCUUCAUUUUCUCUCCUACGUACACUGCUAGAUACCCCUUUGGCACCUCCAAACCUUUUGAAGAUGAUGCCUUUGAUCUGAUGAUACUUGGUAAACGAAAACCCAUUGUUGUAUGUAUGUGUUGAAAAUAAAGACUUGUUUGUAAAUAGAAUGCUCAAGUUUCUGAAUUUCAAAUGCUUUUGGUUGUGAAUGGUUGUGUGUUGGUCCAAAAUGCUUGUAUAUAUAGACGAAUGAAAGGAUAUGUAACAAACAGUCGGCAACUUGCAGGAGAGCCACGAGAUGGAUUAGAGUCAUGAAAACUAUGGGAGACAAGUCCAUAUGAAAGAUCACAUGGUUUUGUUUUGGAGGACUUACACAUGGGUCAACAUCAAACUAAUUUCAUGGUAGAUAAUGCACCCCCUUCAAAUAAUGCAGAUUAGUCUAUCCGUUCGUUAGGUCGAUACUAGCUGGACAUCAGCACUUUGAUAAUGAAGAAAACAUGUCUGAAACAUGUUUACAAAAUUAUGAAGUGAUAGUUAAUGCAUGAACAAAUAUGAGGUUGAAUUUGAAAGGGUGGUGUACAAUCUUUAGACAACCCACAUGCUAUAUCAUCUUAUCCUUUAAUUCUUUCAAACAAUAAUUUAUCUUGGAAUUAGGUUUGCAAAGAAUAUUAGUAACUAUAAAUAUACUUACAAAUAGGCAUCAAACACAACACAAGUCAUUGGUAUCCUAAAGUAUUAGUUAGAUUCUUCUAAAUUUUUGUGAUCUUUGCUUUCUUGAGUUUGUUCUUCACCUUCAAACAAUCACCAAAAAUGGGUUUCCGCUUAAAUGUUAUUCGACAGGCAUCAUUUGCGACUAGCCAAGCAGCAUCAAAAUCAGCAGGAGUUCCAAAGGGCUAUGUUGCAGUAUAUGUCGGAGAGAAACAGACGCGGUUUGUGAUCCCAAUAUCAUACUUAAACCAACCAUUGUUUCAAGAAUUGCUACAUCAAGCGGAAGAAGAAUUUGGAUAUGAUCAUCCCAUGGGUGGACUCACCAUUCCUUGCACUGAAGAUGUCUUUCAACACAUAACUUCUUGCUUGAAUGAGCCAUAAAUCUGACACUUUAGCAUACUGACAGAUUAUAGAGAAAUUUUGUACCAUACAAAUUUUUUAACUUGUAAAAAUUAUACCUUUUUAUUGGAAACAUCGAAAAAUACUUAUCUGAAUUAAAAGAAAAACAACUUUCAUAUUUCCUUCUUGUGUAAUGACAAUAAGAUCAGUUACUUUAUCAAUUACAAUUUCAGCACUCCGCAAUUUGAACAUCACAAAAAAAAAAGAGCUAUCUGCUUGCCUAAGGAAAAAUGUAGACUUGUAUGUCCUCAAAUUUGACAGUAAAAAUAAUAUGAACAGUCAGUGCAGAGCUAAACUUAUUUUUCAGAACCAAACAUAAGUUGUAUCCACAGAACAAAAUCAGUUUUGCUAAUUCAAUUAGCUAACGGGGAAAGGACCUACCAUCAAAUGUACAUGAAAGAAUAAGGGAAAAAAAUAUGAUUCAAAGAACAAGUGUGUGCUACUCAUGCGACUUUGAUAACGCCUAUUAAGAGUUAUUUGGAAUAACAUGCACAUCAGAUGAUCCAGACGAUUAUAACUUUUUUAGGCAUUAACAGAGUGAAAUUAAAAUAUUGUUAGAGUGCACUUGUAGUGAAAUGUUAACAUUGGACAAUUUCUUUUCAAGAGAGAAAUAAUUGUUUUCAUUUAAUGACCGUCUUACGAUUCUAUAUUGAACAAUUGUCAUACUGGAGCCUUUGAUUAUCAAAAAGAUUGUUGAGGGAAUAAUUUAAGAAGAUAUAUUCAUAAAUUCCUCAUUCAGAUGAACUUGUCUACAAAAACGGUUGAUAAAAACAAAAGAGAAUAUUUCCAUGAUAAGAUCUACUGUUACAAAAAUUUGGUCAACUAUCUAUGUCAAUCUAAUCUGAGUUAUCUUCAUAAGAUGUUAGCACCUACUCAAGCGAGAAGUGAUAUCUAAGAAAAGAUCUUCUUCACAAGGAAUUGUAAGACCACCCAUUGGAUGGUCAUAUCCAAAUUCUUCGACAGCCUGGCUGAGCAACUCUUGAAGUGAAGUUUGAUUCAAAUAUGACAUUGGAAUUACAAACCGCUUCAUUUUUACUCCUACGUACACCGCAAGGUAUCCCUUUGGCAUAUCCAAGCCUUUUGAAGAUGAUGCCCUUCUGAUACCAGGUAAAUGAAAACCCAUUCUUGUAUGUCUAGAAAAAAAAAUUAUUGCUCUAGAAAAUACUAGUAAACAAUACUCAAGUUUCUGAAUUUCAAAUUGCUAAGAAUGUGAGAGAUUUGUGUUGGUUCGAAAUGUUUAGCAGUCAUGAAUAUAUAUAGCUGAAAGGAUACAUAACAAGUCGUCGGAAAUUGUAAUAAUCAAUGAAGGAGGGCCAUAAGAUAUGAGUCAUGCCCAGACAAGGGCAUAUGAAAGAUCACAUGGAGUUGUCUUAGAGACUUCAAGCGUUAUGGUAGCUAGAUAAUGCAUAAUUCUUGAGAAGAAGCAUCAUAUAAUUGAUAGACUUGUAAGUAGAACCACAAACAUGUAGAAUGGUUUCUGUUGAUCUAUUGUUAUCUAUGGCCUUAUAGUCACUUACUAGCUGGACAUCAGCAUUGUCAUAAUGAAGAAAACAUGUCUUCAGCAUGUUUAUAAAAUUAUGAAGGACAUCUCAUUUGGUAGGAAGUGGAAGCUUUGUAUUGGACAUUGUUUAAGAAGGUAGGGUACACUCUAAGACAGCACCACAUGCUACCUUAUCACUAUGCUCUCUAUCCUUCCACCCCUUCAAUAAUAGUUUUUCUAGGAAUUGGGUUUUGAGAUAACUUCAAACUCUAUAAAUACACUUCCUCUCUCCUUCACAAACAGCACAACUCAUUAGCAUCAUCAAUUACUUAGUUACAUCCUUCUUACUUUUGAUAUUUUUUUCUCUGUUCUUCUCUCGAACAAUAAGAAAAAUGGGUUUCCGUUUACAUACUAUUCUAAAGGGUUCAGUAAAAUCAAAAUCUAUAGAAGUGAGAAAGGGCUAUGUUGCAGUGUAUGUUGGAGAGAAACUGACGCGUUUUGUCGUUCCUGUGUCAUAUUUGAACCAACCUUCAUUUCAAGACUUGUUGAAUCAGGCUGAGGAAGAGUUUGGAUAUGAUCAUCCAACGGGUGGCCUCACCAUUCCAUGCUCCGAAGAUGUGUUCCAACAUAUAACUUCUUGCUUCAAUGGACUAUGAAUCUUAUACUAUACGCUAGAUUAGUUGAGACAUUUUUCAAAUAGGUGUUUAUUUGACUUGUGAAUUAGUUGUAAAUAUAUGACACUUUUCAUGAGAAAUGGAGAAAUAUUACCAUCUGAAUAUCAAAUUCAAAAAUAUACUGUUCUCUUUAUCCUUGUUUAAUUUACAGUGAGCUUAGUUAUUUUAUCAGUUACAACUUUCACCGGUUUUAGUUAGUUCUUUAGUAUAAGCCUGCUUAUAAAGAAUAACUAUACUUCUUUAAAAAUUAAAUCCUAUCACUAGUUUGUUCUUAAAGUUUAAGUAUGUUCAAAUGAUAUGAUCUAUUACAUUUAUUUCUCUAAUACUAGCAAAAUUAAUGUCAUUUUAAAAUCCAGAUUAACCUUUUUAUGUAACAAACACGUUUUGCUAAUUCCAGGUAGCUAACUAAAAUUCUUGAACUAAAUCAAUAACUAUUGAUUAUUUAGCCAGUUUAACAAGGCUUGUCCUAUGUCUUCAGAAAUUGCCUUUGCGCCCAUUUAUUAUAUACUAGGAGCUAGUUUGGUUGAAUUUUUCACAAAUACUCAAAAACGAAAAGUUGAACAUGAUAAUUUUAAGGCUUAAUUACUCAUUUGGUCCCUUAACUUAUUUUUUGGUUUCGUUUUGGUCCCUUAACUUACUUUUUGGUUUCGUUUUGGUCCCUUAACUAUUAAAAGUUUCGUUUUGAUCCCUUAACUUAUUUUUAGGUUUUGUUUUGGUCCCUUAACUCUUCCUUCGUCAACCACUUUGAUCUUUUAUGCUAGGAUGAAUGUAUUAGAGUUAAGGGACCAAAACGAAACCAAAAAAUAAGUUAAGGGACCAAAACGAAACCAAAAAAUAAGUUAAGGGAUCAAAACAAAACUUUUAAUAGUUAAGGGACCAAAACGAAACUAAAAAAUAAGUUAAAGGACCAAAACGAAACUUUUAAUAGUUAAGGGACCAAAAUAAAACCAAAAAAUAAGUUUAACUAACCUUAUCUCCUAAGUAGAAAUUAACUCCUAGACUUCAAUUUUUUUCCAAAGCUCUGUCACACUGUUUAUUAAUAAACACCUUUAAACUUAUAACUUUUUUCUCAACUUACACGCUAAUUAAUGAUUUAAAAGCUAUCAGUAAUUAGAAGUAAACUCAAACUGGCCUGCUGGAAGGACUUGUCAAAGUCUUUCACUAGUAAUUUUUUUCCCACACAUUCCAAAACAGAAAAAUCGCAAAUUUUUGUUGUUACAGUUGAAUGUUUAUCUAUAGGGACUGAGGAACAGUUACUCUAUAACCUUCUAAUGUUUGGCAUUGUCACAAGUGAACUCAAUUAUACAGAAUCUGUAAUAGAUCUUUACAAUAGUAGUUUUGACUCAAGUUUACAUUUGUAUUUUUAAGGUAUGAAUGGAAUGAUGCUCGUAUACAACAGUAGUUUUUACUAUAAUGUAUUUCAAGUGUUAGGAAACAUGAUAUCCAAUGAAGGAAUGAGAGAAAACUAAGAGAAUCUUUCUAUUGAUGAUAAAAGUGAAUAUUACAAAUGAUCAAAGGUUCCUUCUAAUGAGGUGAUUACAACUAUAUACACUACUACAUGACUAAUACUAACUAGUAUCUAACCUAUAUCUCUAAUACCAAGUACUGAUAACAUUAAUUAGGAUAUCAUAUAUAUAAAUUUUCUCUACAUUCUGUCUAUGAUCUAAAUGAACUCAAAAACAAUCUGCAUAAGGCUUAACCAUAUUAACCGAACCAAACUGAACCGAAGUGUUGAAAUGGUUCGGAAUAACCGAACCGAACCAUUUAAGGUUUGAAACUAACCGAACUGAACCAAAGUUAUGGUUCGGUUAACCGUUUGCUUGCCUAUUAACCGAACCGAACCAAAACCAAAAUUUUGAACCGAAAUGUAUUUUUUACCCUUUUGCGAAUUUAAUUGUGUUUUUUUUUUUCCUUUUUAAAUUUAAUUGCCAAUGACCGUACCAAUUCGAUGCUCUAAAUAACAAAUUUUUGAGAUUCAUUCUGUAAAAAAAAAAAAACUCGGAUCUAAUUAUGUGGUUGAUCCUAAGGAAAAUAUGCAUAAGCAACAGUAUGGUUUAUAAGGAGAAUUUGAGGCUUAUUGCUGUCAGUUUGGAAGUUACUGCUAAUGCAAAUGAGAACAUAAAGAGUCCUUUGAGGCAACUAAUAUUGUAGGCCACAUAUGAUGUAUCUUUAAAUUUGCUGGUAUGCAGUGACAUCUGAUUUAAAUUUGCAUGAAUCAACAGGCAAAUGUCUCUUAGUGAAUCGGUUAUUUAGUAAUUAUGUGACAAUGAGUAGACCAUUUAUUGAUUAACCUUAACAAAGUUUACUUCAACAAUGCCGCUACAAUCUCAACCUGAUCAAGAAGCUUAUAAGUUUAGAGUUAAAAUUAUAAUCAAAAUCUAUUUUGAAUAAGCUGUUUAACAUAAAAUAAGCUGUUUUGAAUAAGUUUUUUUUUUAAAUGAGUUGUUUUGAAUAAUCUGUUUUUUAAAAUAAGCUAUUUGGAAUAAGCUGUUUUUAAAAUAAGCUGUUUUAAUAAGUUAUUUUUUAAAAUAAGCUAUUUUCAUAAAAUAAGUUGUAUUGAAUAAGCUGUUUUUUAGAAUAAGUUAUUUUGCAUAAAAUAAGUUGUUUUCAAAAUAAGCUGUUUUGAGUAGGUUUUUUUUUAUUUUUAAAUAAGCUGUUUUCAUAAAAUAAGUUGUUUUGCAUAAAAUUAGCUGUUUUGAAUAAGCUAUUUUUAAAAAUAAGAUGUUUUGUAUAAAAUAAGCUGUUUUAAAUAAGUUGUUUUUUUAAAUAAGUUGAUUUGCAAAAAAAUAAGUUGUUUUGAAUAAGCGGUUUUUAAAAAGAUAUUGUAAUAAGUUGUUUUGCAUAAAAUAAGUUGUUUUGAAUUAGUUGUUUUUUAACAAGAGAUCGUUAUAAGUUGUUUUGCAUAAGACAAAUUGUUUUGAAUAUGUUGUUUUUAAAAAGAGAUCACUAAGUUGUUUUGCAUAAAUAGAUAUGGUUAAUGGUUCGAUUCGGUUAACCAAAGUUAUUAAAGGUUCAGUUCGGUUAGUGAAUUGCUGUCAAAAUAAUGGUUCAGUUCGAGAACUUUCGAAAUGGUUCAAUUAAUUUUGAUAUAGUUCAGUUCGGUUAACCGGUUCAAUAUGGUUUUUGGUUAUUUUUUCCCACACCUACCUGAGAGGAAUGUUGAAAAAUUGAGUAACUUUAAACUCGGCCAUAGAGGAUGUUUCUGUCAUCAAGUUCUGAGAAAAACUCAGAUGAAUUUCUACCAGAACACAGUGUUUCAUACUAUCUAUGCUUGUGUGUUUGUCCUGAAAGGCUCUGUUGUUUCUUUCAAUCCAAAUUAUCCAAACAAUAUACAGGACUGCAGACAGCAUCACUUUCCGCAACAGAGAGCUACUCAUACUCAAACAGCUAGUGAUUAGAGCCAACCAGCUUGACUUAUCAAUCUGCUGACCAGUACCAGAGCUAAGCCAAUCCCACAACACCAUAGUAACCGGGCAAGAUAAGAAAAUAUGAUGAGAAGAUUCCGCCUGAAUGUGACAGAAACAGCAGAUAGAGACAAUGCAACACCCUCUUUUACGCAACGUGUCAUCAGUGGGAAACUUAUUGUGAGCAAAUCUCCAAAGAAUAAAAGAUCUGGAAGGGGGAGGAUACUUAUUUCAAAUAGCUGGGCACCUCGGAAAUCUCUAAAAAGUCCCUUUCAAAUGACCAAAAGCUAAUUUAUUGGUCAAAUUCCCAUCAAUAGAGUUGUUCCUAUUGAGUGUAUCAGCAACUGGGUCAAUAGGCAGAGUGAUACCAUAUAUUUGCUGGACUAAAGAGACAGGGGCCAAUGCUUGUACAAGAGAGGGGUAGCUAUGGCUACCCCAAAAAAAUAAAUUUUAUUGAGUUAGUAGGUAUAUUUUUAUGUUUAGCUACCCCUAAUAAUAUAUAUUUGGCUACCCCAAGUUCGAUUUUAGGUGUAAUAAUUUUUUAUGACUUUGGUUACUUUCGGGUGGCCACCUCAUAAAAUUAUUGCUAGCUUCGCCUCUGUAAAGAGACAUCCUUUAUUAUGCAGGAAAUAUUCAGGAAUUUGCCACUGGCCCUCUAUCACAAAAUCAGCAACUUUCAUUAAGUAGAGGUUGAGUUCGAACUAUGGUCAAGCAACAACUUUAAAAAAAUAUAGGGAGAGUUUUCUUGUCUGUGGUUUUAUUUGACUCCAGAGUCGAGAUACUCGAUUUAUUAAAAACAAAUUAGGAGAUUUUUAAAUACUUGACAUAGAUUGAAAAAGGAUAUUAGCUACAGCCUGCGGCUCAAAGAACUGGGCUGAAUGGUGUCUUACCUUUUUACUACCCUGUGUUGUGGGCUUAAGUGGAAAAAUUAGAGAAAGUGGAUUUGCACCCUUGAUUUAAUCGGAUAUCUGUGUUUUGAUUGACUGUGUGACUGCGCCAUUUUUUUUACUGCAGUGAAUCACAAUCUAGAUUCUAAAUUGAACAUAUGCUUUGAUUUUCAGAUUUAUAUUUAAUGGGAAAUACACAGUAACACAAUAAUAAUGUUAAUAAAUUUGUCAUUGAGAUGAACUUUUUACAACCAAGUAUGAUAACAAUAAUAAUGUUAAUAAAUUUGUCAUUCAAAAGAGAAACUCUUUUCAAGGUGAGAAACUAUACUACUACAAAAUUGGGUCAAAUAUCUACGUCAAUACUAUGCUAACUUCAAAGAUUUGAUUCAAUUCAAGCGAGAAGUGAUAUCUAAGAAUACUUCUUCUCUGCAAGGAAUAGUGAGACCACCCAUUGGAUGAUCAUAUUCAUAUUGUUCUUCAGCUUGGUUCAACAAUUCUUGGAACGAGGUUUGGUUCAAGUAUGAUAUUGGGAUCACAAACCGCUUCAUUUUCUCUCCUACAUACACUGCUAGAUAUCCUUUUGGCACGUCAACAGCUUUUGAAGAUGAUACCCUUGAUCUGAUGAUACUUGGUAAACGAAAACCCAUUGUUGUAUGAAUUAAAAAGAGAAGAUUGGUCUAAAAAAAAGAGUUGUGUAUAGAAGACUCAAGUUUCUGAACUUCAAAUGCCUUGGGAGGUGAAUGAUUUUUUGUUGGUGCUAAAUGCUUUUGCAGCCUUUAAUAUAUAUAGAUGAAAGGAUAUGUAACAAACAGUCGGCAGCUACAAUGAUCAAUGAAGGAGGGCCAUGAGGUUUGAGCUAUGGCCAGACAAGAGCAUAUGAAAGAUCACAUGGUGUUGUCUCUAGAUGAAUGGAUAAACUUCAAGUGUUGUAGUAGAUAGAUAAUGCAUAAUUCUUGAGCAUAAGCAUCAUAUAAUUGAUAGACUUGAAAGUAAAGCCACAAACAUAUAGAAUGGUUUAUGUUGUUAUAUUGUUAUCUAUGGCAUUAUAGUCACUUACUAGCUGGACAUCAGCAUUAUCAUAAUGCAGAAAACAUGUCUAAAGCAUGUUUACAAAAUUAUGAAGUACACCAAUUAAAUCAUGAAGAAAUAUGAGGCUGACAUCUCAUUUGGUAGCAAGUGGAAGCUUUGUAUUGGACAUUUGUUUAAGAAGGUAGGGUACACUCUUAGACAACACCACAUGAGACCUUAUCCCUAUGCUCUCUAUCCAUCAAACCCUUCAAUAAUAGUUUCUCUUGAAAUUUGGUUCUGAGAGAACUUCAAAAUCUAUAAAUACACUUCCUCUCUCCUUCAUAAAGCACAACUCAUUGGCAUCAUCAAGUAUUUAGUUAAAACUUACAUCCUUCUUACAUUUGAGAUUUUUUAUUUGUUCUUCUCUCAAACAAUAACAAAAAAUGGGUUUUCGUUUAAACUCUAUUCUAAGAGGAUCGGUAACAGCUAGACAAGCAACAUCAAAAUCUGUAGAAGUGAGAAAGGGCUAUGUUGCGGUGUAUGUUGGAGAGAAACUGGUGCGGUUUGUAGUCCCUGUAUCAUACUUGAAUCAACCUUCAUUUCAAGACUUGUUGAGUCAAUCCGAGGAAGAAUUUGGAUAUGAUCAUCCCAUGGGUGGCCUCACCAUUCCUUGUACAGAAGAUGUCUUCCAGCAUAUAAUUUCUUCCUUGAAUGGACUAUGAAUCUUACACUGUAGCAUACUCACAUAGACUAGAUUAAUUGAGACAAUUUUCAUUAUAGGCAUCAUUUUUACUUGUAAAUAUUACCCUUUUCAUGGGAAAUGGAGAAAAAAAUACUAUUUGAAUUACAAAUUCAAAAAAUUACUGUCCUCUUUUUUAUUGUUUAAUGACAUUGAGCUCAUUUACUUUAUCAGUUACAACUUUCACUAGCUAUAGUUAGUUCUUUAAAUAUCAGCCUGCUUAUGAAGAAUACAUAACUUGGCUGAUUUAAAAAAAAAUCCUACUACAAGCUAUGUUCUUUGAGCCUGUUGAAAUAAGAUAAUCUGUUGCUUUUAUUUCUGUAAAAUCCAGCUAAAUCUUUCUAUGCAAUAAAACCUGUUUUGCUAAUUCCAGGUAAAUAACUAAAGUUAUUGAACUAAAUCAAUAACCAUUGAUAAUUUAGCCAAAUUAAUUAGUUUUGGCCUGUCUUCAGAAAAUGCCUUUUUCCAUUGAUUAUAUUUAAGAGGUAUAGUUUCGUUAAAUGUUUCACAUAAAUUCAAAAAAAGCAAAAGUUGAACAUGAUUACUUUAACUAUUUUAUUAUCUCCUAAGCAGAAAUUAGCUCCUACACUUCAAUUUUAUUCAGAAUCUAUCUCACUUAGUUUAUUAGUAAACACCAUUAAACUUACAAGCUAAAUAUUUAUUUCAAUUCCUAUAGUUUGAAAUUGAUUCAAAUUUCCAACUGGCUCUUAAGUCUUUAACCCUUCUAGUUUUCUCAAAACUGAAAAUCACAAACUUUUAUUGUUUCAGUUGAAUAUUUAUGUGGGGAACAGGCCCUCUAUAAACUUCUAAUGUUUGGCAAGGAAGUGCCUCGCGUAUUCCUUAUAGUAUAAGGAAUCUGUAAUAGAUAAUAUGUACCUUUUUUUACUGGUUGAUGAUAUAUACUCAACAAAUAUCAAUUUGAUAUAAAAACAAAGUAAAAGUUAAGAGUUUUUGAAAUUUUCUCCUUCAAAAUAAUUACAAAAACUAGAUAAUCUAUAUAAUUGGCAACUGUCUAAAACUGUAGGUGACAUCCAUGCAUAAGCUCAACUUCGCCAACAAGUCAAUGAAAAUAAACCAUUGUUAGAUCAAUAUAGUUGGAUUCAGUGUUUUUCUUGAAGAUUCUUUUCGCAAUAUAUCCUUAAUUUAUGACCACUAAAAUAUAUCAGAUCCUUUUUUUUUUAUUGCAACAGGGGCGAUUCCUUUUUAUAUAUGAAGUAAAUGAAUUUUUCAUUUUAUCAGAGAGAUCAUAAACUGAACAUUUAGCAAUUGAUUUUCAUAUUCAUAAUUAAGGGGAAGUAAUAGAGAAAUAAUGUAAUAGUGUUUAAAAUUUCUCAUUCAGAUGAACGUUUUACAUUCAAGGUAUGAUAACAACAAAAGUGGAAAUCUUCUAAAGGUUAGAAAAUAGAAACUAAUUUGAUACAAAAAUUGGUCAGAUAUCUAUGUCAAUCUUCUAAUAUCUGCAUGGAGCUACUUCAAUUCAAGUUAGAAGUGAUAUCUAAGAAAACUUCUUCUUUGCAAGGAAUAGUGAGACCCCCCAUUGGAUGGUCAUAUUCAAAUUGUUCCUCAGCUUGGUUCAACAAUUCUUGGAAUGAUUUUUGCUUCAAAUAUGAUAUAGGGAUCACAAAUCUCUUCAUGUCCUUUCCUACAUACACAGCUAGAUAUCCCUUUGGAACGCCCACAGAUUUUGAAGAUGAUGACCUUUUGAUGAUACUAGGUAAACGAAAACCCAUUGUUGUAUGUGUUGAAAAUAAGAGAUUGGUCUAAAAUAGACAGACUUGUAUAUAGAAAAGACUCAAGUUUUUUAACUUCAAAUGAGUUGGAAUGUGAAUGAUUUGUGUUGGUGCUAAAUGCUUGCAGCCAUGAAUAUAUAUAGAUGAACGGAUACUUAACAAACCGUCGGCAACUAUAAUGAUCAGUGAAGGAGGACCAUAGGAUUAGAGUUAUGUUCAGACAACAGCAUAUGAAACGUCACAUGGUGUUGUCUUCAGAAUUUAGAGGACUUUCUCAAAGAUCAACAUCAAAUGUUGUGGUAGGUAGAUAAUGCAAGUCCCACCUUGUUGAGUAGAGGCCAGCAUAUAAUUAAUCAACUUGAAAGUAUAACCACAAACAUGUAGAGUGGUUUAUGGAUCUAUUGCUAUCUAUUGCCUUGUAUAGUUUAGCAUCUGGACAUCAACACUAUCAUAAUAGAAAGAACAUGUCUAAGCAUGAUUUCACAGUUAUGAAGAAGUAAUUAAUGCAUGAACAGAUAUAAGGCUGCUCUGCACUUGAGAAAGUCUCAAUUGGUUCCAAGUGGAAGCUUUGUGUUGGCCAUUGUUUGAGAAGGUGGGGUACAAUCUUAAGACAACGCCACAUGCUAUAUUAUCUUAUGCUCUCUAACCUUUAACUCUUUCAAAUAAUAAUUUAGCUUUGAAUCGAAUUUUCAGAUAAACUCAAUGACUAUAAAUAUACGCACAUAAAAUGGGUUUCCAAUAGCCUGUUCUUCUAAGUGUUAGUUACAUGGCAUCCCACUACAGUCUAGUUGUCCGCACACACCACAUCAAAAUGGUGUUUCCAAGUGGAAACAUCGUCAUCUACUCGUACCUUAUUGAUUAAUGCUCAUGCACUUUGAAAACAUUGAGGUGAUGUUGUUCUCACAACAUCUUAUUUGAUCAAGUGUAUGCCAUUCUCGGUAUUGGAUAAUGAGAUUCCACAUUCUCUCUUGUUUUAUAAGCCCCCGCUGUAUUUUGUACUUUUACGAGUGUUUGGAUCCACUUCUCUUGUUCAUGUUCUAUCUCCUGGCUGUGAAAAAUUGUUUACAGGAGAUAUCAAGUGUGUGUUUCAGGGGUACUGCAGAGUUCAAAAGGGGGAUCAAUGUUAUUGUCUAUUUACACGUCAUUUUUAUGUUUCGACAGAUGUUACUUUCUUUGAUGAUACACCUUACUUUGUGACACCAGGUACAUCAGAUUCUAAAACAUAUAUAUGUUAGUAAUCAUGUGGUACAUAUUCCUCUAUUUGAAUGAUCUAUCUCUACUCACAGACCUCCAUAGUCACAUAGUCAUCCCGAGUUUAAGUGUUAUUGUACUACUAAUCAACGUCAAUGUGUUGAUGCUCAAGAGACAGUUCCUACCUCUUCCGGUGAUUUAGAUUUUGUUCAUAUUACUUCUAACCGUCAUUAUAUAUAUAACUUUUUGAGUUAUCAUCGCUUGCCUCCAUCGAUCUCACUAUGUUUUUGUCUCUAUUAUAUCCGCUAUCUCUAUUCAUAAGUUCAUCCAGAAAGUAAUAUCACAUCCAGGAUGGCGACAAGCAAUAAUUGUUGAAAUGAAUGCAUUGGAGUCUGUGUACAUGGAAGUUUGUUCCAUUACCUCCUCGAAAAUCUAUUUUGGUUGUCAGUGGGUCUUUGCUAUUAAAGUAUGUUAUCAUGAACAAAUGGAUCAUACAAAAGGUCAAUUGGUAGCAAAAGUAUACCCUCAAAUUUAUGGUUUGGACUAUAUUGGUACCUUGCAAAAAUGGUUUAUGCUCGUCUUUCUUUGUUAGUGGCUGCUAUCAAACAUUUACCUUUGUAUCUUAUUUCAUGAAGUCUUAGAAGAGGCGAUGUAUAUGCAGUAGCCACCUGGCUUUAUUGCUUAGGGUGAUUUUGGUCUUGUUUACAAGUUAGAAAAAUCAUUGUACGGUCUAAAGCAAUCAGCUUGAACUUACUUUUGAAAAUUCAGCAAGCUUAUUCAAUAAUUUGGCAGGAUUCAUUGUGAAGCUGGUCAUUCUGUAUUAUUUAGACAUUCAUCUUCAAACAAAGUCAUUUAUUGAGUGGUAUAUGUGGAUGAUAUUUUUAUUACCGAUAAUGAUUAAGAAGACAUUAAAAACAUAAAAAAUAAUUUAUUCAACCACUUUCAAACCAAUUAUUUAAGCCAAUUGCGUUUUUUUUUUUGGGAAUGAAGUAACACAAACACAUGAAGCUACUGCUAUUUCUUAGAGAAAAUAUGUUCUUGAUAUCUUGGGAGAAACAUGGAUGCUCGAUUGUAAACCAGUUGCUACUCCUUUGGACCAUAAUGUGAAGCUUUUACAAAAUCAUGGAGAGUGGUAUCCUGAUCCAGACAGAUACAGGAGGCUAGUUGUGAAACUGAAUUAUCUCACUAUUCUUGUCUCUCCUCCUCUCACUUAUUUGCUUGUCUCUCUUUUUUCUGACUUACUUGCUUCUGUAUAUGCAGGAAGAAUUCAUUUAGCAAAGAAUUGAAUUAAUGCAAUAUAUCAUGUUUUUUCUGUUUCUAAGGGCUUGUUGUUCUUGUUUCUUUGUAGCUCAUCAUAGCAUGUUUUGCGGAGGUUUUAUGUUGCAGAUGUAAAUUUAGGUUUUGUACUUGCUAAUUUAGUAAAGCUGUGUCAAUAAUAACGUUGCAAAUCCAAAAUCUGUGAAUAAGAAUUUCAUUAUUGACAUAAAUGCUAAUCCAAUUUUAUAAAUUAAAAAUCGGCCAAAUCAAUCUUGGCUCAUCCGUAGUUUAACGGUUUAACCAGACUGCAAGAUAAUUGAAGUCAAACCAGCCGAUGAACUGGUCAUUUCCUAGUUCUAAGAAUGUUGAGGUAGUAUAUACCAACUUAUUUAAAAAACAAAUGUAAGGGUUCUACAAAUAUAGGUUGGUUCUUCAAGUGACAACAAAAUGCUACUACAAAUGAAAACAGACAAGCUUUUUCCAAACUAAAACAGAAAAUAAACAAAAGUGAUCCAUGUCACAAAUAAGCAUACUGAUUCUUCUAGACCAACUUGUAGUAACAAUUGUUUGCACAGAUUAGAACCUCAUAUCCCUUGCCACAUGGACACUUGAAAGUAAGGCUUAAACACUUAUCAACCCACUCCACACUAACAGCUUCUUCAUAAUCAUUUCCCAAUUCAUCCUACAAAAACAAAAAUGAACUGUUCAGCAUAAAAACUAUUAAUCUGAAAGUCAUGUUUAUAGUUUUAACUUGUUGUCGCCAAAACUACAUCGCAAUUGCAGCCGCUUUUUAGAGGAUUUUGAGGUCUCUACAAGGGCGUCACAAACACAAUUUUAGUCACAUCGGCCGCAUUUCCCCACAAUGUAAAGGUUCACAUCGUGACCACAAGUGCGACUGCAAUCGCAAUUUAAAACAAUGAUUACAAGUGCAACUAUGAUCACAUCAACAAUUUAUUAUGCUUCUUAGCCAAACCCCCAGAUCCUACAUAUUUAAGUGGAACAAAAGGUGGCUACACUACACAUGAAGUUGUAAUGAGGCCAAAAGUUUAGGUAGUGUUAUGGCUAUAAACAUUCAAACACGGGAAUAAAGGUGGCUACACUACACAUGAAACUAUAAUUGAAUAUGUCAUCUUCAUUCUUCAGUAUGUUCCUGUCUUAAAAUUUAGCAUUUUUACCCUUCGAUAUAAAACCUCUAACUCUAACAUAUUGCCCACAAAAUUCUUGAAAAGAAGAGUGUUUAUUCUUACCUAGAUUCGGUAAAUUAAAAACCAAAGGAAAAAUGCAGUGGAGGGAAGCACAUCACACAGUUGAUCAAAUAAUUUUUUUACUUCAGAUAUGUAUAUGUCGAUAAGGGAAAGUCCAGAUCCUAUAUAAUUGAGUUGUUAAAAUUGCUGCACAUAAACUAUGAUUACAAAUGCAACUAUGAUCAAAUUCAAUACCUUCCCGUAACCCCCGGAUUCUUCGUAAUUAAGCAAGUGCAACUAGGAUAUACAUAAAAAUAAGAAAUAACUUGUAAGUACCAAUUAAAGAACCAACUACAUUGAAGAUUACAUAGAAAAGACAAUCACAGUUGAAGAUUCAAGACAUGUACCUGCGAUAUGACUUUUUCAUCUUCAGCAACAAAAGAGUCAAGAGAGUGCUCUUCUUGUUCUUGUUCUUUUUCAUCCUUUUCAUCUUCAGCAUCAGGAGAGGGCUCUUCUUCUUGUUGUUCUUUUUCAUUUUCUUCCUCGACUUCCAUAACUUCAUCCCACACUUUCUUCAUUUCUUUUAACCGAUCCUUCAUCCUUUUAAGCCUCUACGAAAAACAAACAAAACCCAUUAUUCCAAAUCAAAAAAAGAGUACUUUUUUAUCAAGAAACACAAGUUUCAACACAUACCAUUGAAUCAGAUUCAGGGGUGGUUUUUUUAGCAGAGUUCAAAUAACGAGCUACUGCUUCUUUAACCUCAAAAGGAUCAAUAACUUCAGAUAUACAUCUGCUGAUCGGAGGCUGAGGCUGCAAAGCAGUUGACGGCCCUUUUACCGGCAUGGAUUGAUCCGGCAAGGUGCAAGGAUCAGAGACACAGCGGCUAAGAGCAUUCCCGCGGAGACUGAAAGGAAGUGUAAUGGCAGAGAAGCCAUUACGGGUGAGAUUGCUUGCGUCAAAAGAAUGCUUCUUGGAUGAUGGUUGGUGGGCAGAUGAUGAUGAUGGUGAACGGCGUUUGACAGAGUUGUUGUGAGUGUGAUGAUGAAGCAUUGAUGAUGUUGGAAUAAUCAUGGAUUGUUUCUGUUUGUGAGGGAUCAACAUGGAUUCUUGUUGAAUCUGUAAAUCACCCAUUCUUCUGAAUUGUUUUCUUUUUUGAUUGUAAAGUAAGUGUGAGUGGCAAAGAGUUAUGAAAAAAGAGGGAUGGUUUGAGUAUACAUACAUACAUAUAUAUAUAUAUAUAUAUAUAGGAGAUGGUAUAUGAUGAUCUGUUGAGGUUUUCAAGGGUAACUGAUUUUCUGUCUUCAAAAUCAAAUCAAAAUGUUUAAAAGAAAAUAAGUUUUACAUAAUUUGUAUUUGAGAGAUACAAACCAAAAUGGAUUUCUGGCUGGUCAUGACAUUUUUUAUUAUAUACACCCUGAGUCUGGAAAUCAAUUUUACAGGGGUGGACUUAUUGUUGAGAAAAAAAUGAUCAUAAGAUGCGAAAAUCUCAACAAAUUAUACUUAGUUAUUUAAGCCUGUUGAAAUGAGAUAAUUGCUACUACUGUCUCUCUGAAUACUAGCUAGCAUAAUUAGGGUCAUUGUUCAUCCAGUUUUGCAAAUUCGAGGUAGCUAACUAAAAUGCUCGCACGAAUUCAAUAACUAUUGAUGAUCUAGCCAAAUUGAUAAGGCUCGGCCUAUGUUUUCAGAAAUUGCAUUAGCAGUGAUUAUAUAUUCAUUAAGAGCUGUUUUGGUUAAAUUUUUCACAUAUACUCAAAAAUGAAAAGUUGAACAUGAUUACCUUAACUAAUAUCUUAUCUCCCAAGAAGAAAUAAGCUUCUAUACUUCCAAUUUUUUCAGAUCUCUCUAACUCAGUUUAUAGGUAAAAACAUCCAGAACUUACUGGUAACACCAUCAGAGUUCAGAUAUUUCUUUCUCAUACAAGUUUAUUCACAUCAGUAUUUCAUUUAUAGUGUGCAGAACAAUAAAAAAAAAAAAAAGGGUAAUAUAUAUAACAAAAGAAGAGAGGACUCAAACAGAGGACUCAAUAAUUCAUGCUAUUUUUUAGAGUUAGGAAACAGUAAAAAAAUUCAAGAGUGCUUGGAUGAUAUGCCAUGAGUACUUAGAUAAGAUGUCCCAAGUAUCUUCCUAUCUAAAUAGAGGUUUCCGGUUCUAACUAUGUGAAUGCAACAACGUUAAAAUGUUCAGGGAGAGUUUUGCCGUGGUUUUAUUGGACUCGACAAUUGAGAAACGUGAUUUGUAAAAACAGAAGUAGUAGAUGGUAAAAUAUAGUCCUAUGUUUAUAAAUUGAGAUUAUAGAUUUUUUACAGCAAAAUUGAAAUUUGCCUUUCUUUUUUGAGAACAAAAUUGUUUAGACAUUUCACAACAAAAGAAAAAAAAUAUAUUAUCAAAGAAUUUGACUAUAAAAUGUAGAGGUAACUAUUUUUAACUCAUUUUUUUUAUUAAAAAAAAAAACAUAAUUUGAUAAAUUAAAUAAUUGUUAAUAUGAUUUGAGAAACCAUGUUUUUGCUAUCUAAAUUCUAUCCAAUAAUUCUGUGUUCUCUGCAGAUAUUUUUUCCGCAAUAUAUACUUCAAUUAUUAUUGUUAAAUCAAUAUAGUUUACUUUUUAAUUUCCAUUUUUUGCAUUAGGGGAGGAUUGAUUUUAUAAUUGAACAACUGAAUCUUCCAUUAUAUCCUCUAGAGAUUCUAAACUGAACAUUUAACAAAUAUAGAUGCAUCGAUUCUUAGAAUGGCAUGUAAGAAAAACACAGUAAUAAUGUGUUAAUAAACUUCUCAUUGAGGUGAACAUAUUUACAAGCAAAUAUGAUAACAACAAAAGAUAAAAUCUUUUGAAGGUGAGAAACUAAACUGCUACAAAACUGGGUCAAAUAUCUAUGUCAUGUCCUAUGAUAUCUUCAAAGAGCUAAUUCAAUUCAAGUGAGAAGUAAUAUCUAAGAAAAUGUCUUCUUUGCAAGGAAUAGUUAGACCACCCAUUGGAUGGUCAUAUUCAAAUUGUUCCUCGGCUUCGCUCAACAAUUCUUGGAAUGAAGUUUGGUUCAAAUAUGAUACAGGAAUCACAAACCGCUUCAUUUUCUCUCCUACGUACACUGCUAGAUAGCCCUUUGGAACGUCCACAGCUUUUGAAGAUGAUGCCCUUGAUCUGAUGAUACUACGUAAACGAAAACCCAUUGUUGUAUGUAUGAGUUAAAAGGAGAAGAUUGGUCUAAAAAGAAAGAGUUGUGUAUAGAAGACUCAAGUUUCUGAACUUCAACUGACUUGGGAUGUGAAUGAUUUUUUGUUGGUGCUAAAUGCUUGAUGCCAUGUUUAUAUAUAGAUGAAAGGAUAUGUUACAAACAGUCGACAACUACAAUGGUCAAUGAAGGAGGACCAUGAGAAUUUAAUCAUGGCCAGACAAGAGCAUAUGAAAGAUCACAUGGUGUUGUCUCUAAAUGAAUGGAUAUACUUCAAAUGGUGUAGUAGAUAGAUAAUGCAUAAUUCUUGUGCAAAAGCAUCAUAUAAUUGAUAGACUUGAAAGUACAAACCACAGACAUGUAGAAUGGUUUAUGUUGAUCAAUUGUUAUCCAUAGCCAUGUAGACACUUACCAGCUGGACAUCAGCAUUAUCAUAAUGAAGAAAACAUGUCUGAAGCAUGUUUACGAAAUUAUGAAGGAAACCAAUUAAAUCAUGAAGAAAUAUGACGUUGCACUUGAGCACAUCUCAUUUGGUAGCAAUUGGAAGCUUUGUAUUGGAUAUUGUUUAAGAAGGUAGGGUACACUCUAAGACAACACCACAUGCUACCUUAUCCCUAUGAUCUAUAUCCUUCAACCCCUUCAAUAAUAGUUUUUCUUGAAAUUUGGGUUUGAGAGAACUUUAAAAUCUAUAUAUAAACUUCCUCUCUCCUUCACAAACAGAAAAACUCAUUGCAUUAUCAAAUAUUUAGUUACAUCCUUCAUACAUUUGAGAUUUUUUCUCUGUUCUUCUCUCAAACUAUAACAAAAAAUGGGUUUCCGUUUACACACUAUUCUAAAGGGUUCAGUAACGUCUAGUCAAGCAAAAUCAAAAUCUGUAGAAGUGAGAAAGGGCUACGUUGCAGUGUAUGUUGGAGAGAAACUGACGCGGUUCAUAGUUCCUGUAUCAUAUUUGAACCAACCUUCAUUUCAAGACUUGUUGAAUCAAGCUGAGGAAGAGUUUGGAUAUGAUCAUCCAAUGGGUGGCCUCACCAUUCCGUGCACCGAAGAUGUCUUCCAACAUAUAACUUCAUGCUUGAAUGGCCCUUGAACCUUACACUUUAACAUACUGAAAUAGCUAGAUUAGUUGAGACAUUUUUUUUGUAACAGGCGUCUUUUUGACUUGUAAAUAUAUUACCCUUUUCAUGGGAAAUGGAGAAACAUUACUAUCUGAACAACAAAUUCAGAAAAAUUAUCAAAAUUUUUAGUUAGUUCUUUAAGCCUAUUGAAAUGAGACAAUAUGUUACUUUUAUUUCUCAAAAUACUAGCAAAAUUAGUUUCAUUGUUAAAAUCCAGCUAAACAUCUUUAAGUAACAAAACCAUUUUUGCUAAUUCAGGUAGCUCUAUAAAAUUAUUGAACUAAAUCAAUAUCUAUUGAUUUUUUAACCAUUAGUCACCCAUUAAUUAUAUCUUAAGAGCUACUUUGGUUAAAUUUUUUCACAUAUAUACUAACAUAAGAGUUGAACUUGAUUAUUUAACUAAUAUCUUAUCUCCAAAGUAGAAAUCAGCUCCUACGCUUCAAUUUUUUCAGAAGUUUUCUCUCUUAGUUUAUUGGUAAAACCUUUAAAUUUAUAGAAGUUUUUCUUAACUUACAAGCUUAAUAAUCAUUUCAACUCGUAUUAGCUAGAAGAUCAUUCAAACAUGCCUGCUACAUCUUAUGAUUCUUUAGUCUUGCACUCUUCUAGUUUUCUGUCACACCUUGUACUCCCAAAACAGAAAAUCACAAACUUCUAUUGCUUCAGUUUAACGUUAAUCUGUAGGGAACAGGCCCUCUUAACCUUCUUAUAUUUGGUAUUGUUGCAAUUUCUUAUUAUGAAAGUGUCUCAUGUGUUUCUUUUAGUAUAAGGAAUCGGUAAUAGAUCUAUAAUAUUAGUUUUCAAACAAUUGUACAUUUGUGCCGUUACUGUUUGAAAGGAAUGACGCUCUCAAAAGAAAGUUGUAAAGUCAUAUCUAUAAUGUAUUUACCAGAAGCAACAUGAACAGGUUGUAUAUUAACCUGAGAAUUAAUUGUGGGGUGCUUAAUAAACCACAAGUUUUUUAAUCUGCAUUCUUAUCCAAUAAUUACAUUCUUCUAUGCUGGAUUAUUUUUUGCAAUAUAUACUUUGUUUAUGAUCGUUAAGCCAUACUAGUUACUUUUAACUUUCGAUAUUUUUGCAACAGAGGAAAUCUAUUUUAUAUUCGUCUAGAGAUUCUAAACUGAACAUCUAGCAGAUAUGCUUUGAUUUUCAGAUUUAUAUUUAAGGGAAAAUAUAGAGAAGUAAUGAUGUUAUAAAUUUCUCAUUGAGGUGAACUUUUUCAUAAACAAGUAUCAUAACAACAAAAGAUAAAUCUUCUAAAGGUGAGAAACUAAACUGCUACAAAAAUGGGUCAAAUAUCUACGUCAAUCUUAUGGUAUCUUCCGAGAGCCAAUUCAAUUCAAACGAGAAGUGAUCUCUAAGAAAACGUCUUCUCUGCAAGGAAUAGUGAGACCACCCGUUGGAUGAUCAUAUUCAAAUUGUUCCUCAGCUUGGCUCAACAAUUCUUGGAAUGAGGUUUGGUUCAAGUAUGAUACAGGAAUCACAAACCGCUUCAUUUUCUCUCCAACAUACACUGCUAGAUAUCCCUUUGGAACAUCGACACCUUUUGAAGAUGAUGCCCUUUUGAUGAUACUAG
rnacentral:lncRNA from 1 species